UCCAACCGGAAUCUAUAAGCUUUCAAACGG
rnacentral:piRNA from 1 species